rnacentral:rRNA from 1 species
GAUGAACGCUGGCGGCGUGCUUAACACAUGCAAGUCGAACGAAGCACUUUAUUUGAUUUCCUUCGGGACUGAUUAUUUUGUGACUGAGUGGCGGACGGGUGAGUAACGCGUGGGUAACCUGCCUUGUACAGGGGGAUAACAGUUGGAAACGGCUGCUAAUACCGCAUAAGCGCACGGCAUCGCAUGAUGCAGUGUGAAAAACUCCGGUGGUAUAAGAUGGACCCGCGUUGGAUUAGCUAGUUGGUGAGGUAACGGCCCACCAAGGCGACGAUCCAUAGCCGACCUGAGAGGGUGACCGGCCACAUUGGGACUGAGACACGGCCCAAACUCCUACGGGAGGCAGCAGUGGGGAAUAUUGCACAAUGGGCGAAAGCCUGAUGCAGCGACGCCGCGUGAGCGAAGAAGUAUUUCGGUAUGUAAAGCUCUAUCAGCAGGGAAGAUAAUGACGGUACCUGACUGAGAAGCACCGGCUAAAUACGUG